UACAGAGGUGGCAAGCGUUGUUCGGAAUUACUGGGCGUAAGGGCGCGUAGGCGGUCUUCUAAGUCUUGUGUGAAAUCCCUCGGCUCAACUGAGGAACUGCACGGGAUACUGGAUGACUUGAGUCGGGAGAGGGAAGCGGAAUUCCGGGUGUAGCGGUGAAAUGCGUAGAUAUCCGGAGGAACACCGGUGGCGAAGGCGGCUUACCUGGACCGAUUACUGACGCUGAGGCGCGAAAGCC
rnacentral:rRNA from 1 species